UACAGAGGUCCCAAGCGUUGUUCGGAUUCACUGGGCGUAAAGGGUGCGUAGGUGGCGGGGUAAGUUUGAUGUGAAAUCUCCGGGCUUAACCCGGAAACUGCAUUGAAUACUAUUCUGCUCGAGGUUUGGAGGGGGGACUGGAAUUCUCGGUGUAGCAGUGAAAUGCGUAGAGAUCGGGAGGAAUACCAGUGGCGAAGGCGGCCUGCUGGGCCACGACCGACACUGAGGUGCGAAAGCGUGGGGAGCGAACCGG
rnacentral:rRNA from 1 species